rnacentral:lncRNA from 1 species
CCCUCCUUUUCCGCCCGGGGAGAAUCGAUGGGAGGCGCGCCCUGGGUUAAAGGGUGUAGGGGUGCAAGGCGAGGGCCGGGCGGGCGCCGAGGAAUCUGCAAUGCCUGCUCGACCCCCACCCAUCCUGUUGCUCCCGCAGCUGCUCCCACCACCACGCCCGCUCCGCCUCCCCCCACUCAGGUGCCCAGCGCGUUGUCCCCGUCUGUGCGCCCAGAGACUUGUGUGCUCUCCAAGGGCGGCAAAGGUAAGGCGGGCGUGGGUCCCAGGGCUCCUGGCGGACCACAGGGGACACUCACCUCGGGGGCCACCCUGAUCCUGGAGGGCGGUCCAUAUUUGGGGGAAACCGAGUCCGGGGUGGGCAGCAGAGCUUGGGAUGGCAGAGUGGGGUGGAACGGAGAUCCCGGCCAGUCGCUAAGUGUCGAAGCUUCGGUGUUGUCAGCGCACACAAGGUGGCUGGAUCUCACCUGCGAUGUCUACAUCUGGGCGCCCUUGGCCGGCACCUGCGCUGUCCUUCUGCUGUCCCUGGUCCUCGCUGUCAUCUUCCUCCGCAGGAACAGACGUCGCGUUUGCAAAUGUCCUAGGCCUCAAGUCAGACCUGGAGGCAAGCCCAGCCCUUCAGGGAAAUUCGUCUAACAUGGCACUCAGCCUGUGUGACAGCCACUACAUGCCUUCAUACUGAGAUGGUCCCUUGGAGAGCAAGUGCUUCUCUUUUGGGUUUUCCAGUCUUCCUUCCCAUGUACUCAUUCUUAUUAUUAUUUUAGUGGGGGGUGGGGUGGGAAGAGUUACUUUUUCUUCAUGCUAUUUACUUUGACAAAAAACAAAACCAUUGAGUGUCUACAGUUCACUGCAAGAGUCACAGUACUGUUGCACAUACUGGAGGGUAGAGGUAAGAAGCCAGGUUCUCAGAUGCUGGAAUUCACUCUUCCACCCACUUGUGUGGCAGUGGCACCCUAUGGCCAUCCCUCCCUAAUCACUCUCCUCUACCCACUUGGGCUCAGGUGCCACCCUAAGAGCAUUCUAUAUAAACUCAGAUCAAAGCACAUGCAACCCCUUUCAAAAGUCUGAUGCAUCAGCCCCGCCUGCAGUUCCUUUUCUGUUGUCCAUUUCUGUCUGUCACCUUCAAUAAACACAGCUGCUUUUCCCUCACCACUGAAUGUCCACUUUGCAAUUCUUUGCUUGCUAUACACAAGAGCUUGGAAUCCAUUGGGUCCACCACACUGUUACACUGUGGUGGAGCUGGAGGCAGCCUCAGUGGCCUUUGGUCUAAACCUUUUCCCUGCCCAACCAGAGGAGGCUGAAGCCCAGAGAUGGGAGCAACUUGGCCAGUAAUAGCAAUGGAGGGUUGGAGGUUGGAGUCCUUGCCUGCCAGCCCUAGGCUCUUUCCUUCACACCAUCUGGGACUCUCUUUCCAGGAGCCAGGGGCUCAAAGUAAGGUGUUUGUGACUCAAACCAUUAUUGGGUCUCAGGCCCAAGGAGGUAAUGAAAUGAAGACAAGACAUUGCCUUGACAGGUUCUACAAUGUUAAUAACACCAGACCUUUCUAUAAUGAAGCAUACAAUUGGAUAGCCUCUGUACCAGCUGAAACCAAGACACUUUUACAGAACUAUCUUGUGUUAGGGAAAGCAGAAGAGAAAGCUGAGAAAUUAUAAUGGUACAAAUUCCUACAAUAAAGUGAAGAGGUGAACUCAAUCCUGGAAAAUGAAUCCCUCUGUCUCUAAAGAAAAUCGCUGUGAAAUUCCUAUGAGGCUAAAGUGCUCUCCCAGCCCUUGCACAGCAGAGGGUGAAACUUUUCAAGAUGAUUUCAGCAUCAGUAAGUUGAGCAGAGGUCCUCCUGAAUCUCCAAAUCUGAGAUACUGGUUUGGAACAUACUUGUGGGAUCACUGAUGACAAUUUAUACUUGAAGACAAUCAUUGGGAGUGCUGCCAGAAAAUUUCUGGCCUCCCCCACCUUCAGCAGAUGUGAGGAUGAGGGAGAAGAGGCUGGUGGGGAGCCUGAGACCCAAACUGUUGCCCAUGUGAGUGUUUUCUGUCAUAGUAUUACACAAGCACCGAGAGAGAGACCUAGGUAAAGUAAUACAAAUGUUCCAUAAUUCUUACUCCAUAGUUAAUAUUAUGGUGUAACUUUUUUUCUAUGCAUGUAUGUAAAAUAUCUACCUUGUUUUUUAAUAGUAUGCUGUUACAAGUGGCUUUAGUAAAUAAACUUUAUGGCAUCCCUUUUUUUAGUCAUUAAGUUUAUUGGCACAUUUUAGGUGUACAAUACGACAUUCAUCAUUGGGAAUUUGUACCUUUACAUGACAUAUCUUGGUUAUUU